rnacentral:rRNA from 1 species
UUGAACGCUGGCGGCAGGCCUAACACAUGCAAGUCGAGCGGAUGAAGGGAGCUUGCUCCUGGAUUCAGCGGCGGACGGGUGAGUAAUGCCUAGGAAUCUGCCUGGUAGUGGGGGAUAACGUCCGGAAACGGGCGCUAAUACCGCAUACGUCCUGAGGGAGAAAGUGGGGGAUCUUCGGACCUCACGCUAUCAGAUGAGCCUAGGUCGGAUUAGCUAGUUGGUGGGGUAAAGGCCUACCAAGGCGACGAUCCGUAACUGGUCUGAGAGGAUGAUCAGUCACACAGCAAUGGUGCGGCAGCCAAGAUUCGUAGGGGAUGAAGGAGGGGGGAAUGGUGGACAAGGGCGAGAUGUGUAAUACGGCGGUGCCGGGUGUGUGAAGAAGGUCUUGGGAUUGUAAAGUAGUUAGAGUGGGGAUGAAGCGCAAUAAGUUAAGACGUGGCUGUGAGGACGUUACCAACAGAAGAAGCACCGGCUAACGGCGGGCAAGCAGCCGCGGUAAGAGUAGGAGUAGCAAACGACUGAAC